rnacentral:rRNA from 1 species
GACGAACGCUGGCGGCGUGCUUAACACAUGCAAGUCGAACGGAAAGGCCCUGCUUUUGUGGGGUGCUCGAGUGGCGAACGGGUGAGUAACACGUGAGUAACCUGCCCUUGACUUUGGGAUAACUUCAGGAAACUGGGGCUAAUACCGGAUAGGAGCUCCUGCUGCAUGGUGGUGGUUGGAAAGUUUCGGCGGUUGGGGCUGGACUCGCGGCUUAUCAGCUUGUUGGUGGGGUAGUGGCUUACCAAGGCUUUGACGGGUAGCCGGCCUGAGAGGGUGACCGGCCACGUUGGGACUGAGAUACGGCGCAGACUCCUACGGGAGGCAGCAGGGGGGAAUAUUGCACAAUGGGCGGAAGCCUGAUGCAGCAACGCCGCGUGCGGGAUGACGGCCUUCGGGUUGUAAACCGCUUUCGCCUGUGACGAAGCGUGAGUGACGGUAAUGGGUAAAGAAGCACCGGCUAACUACGUG